CUCGCCAAUUAAUACGACAGUCACCAAUAAACCUGCAAAACGUUGAAUUCCCGCUAACUCUGAAUCGUUUUCGGAGCAAUAAGGUUGGUUAAAACUUGAUGCCAGUUUGUUCCAAAUUGAGGUUGGUAAAAAACAUUUUCAUCAGUUAUGAAAAUAGCAUAUUAUUCUGCAAACAAAAA